CUGAGUUGCCAGGGAGGAGGCACCGGCUGGCAGCUCAGUCACACAGUGUCAGGGCCAGAGCUCAGUGUUCUGCCUUCUGACUCUAAAACCUACCUUCCAGUGCUCCUUUUGGGUGUUCGUGGCUGUUCAUAACGGCCCAGAUGCCCCCUCCGGUGGCCCCUCCAUGCACCCCAGCCUUGCUCCUCCAAGUAUGGUGCCGCCAGCAGCUUGGGCAGCACCAGGGAGUGUACAGAACCUCCGGCGGCACCCCAGACCUGCCGAAUCAGAAGCUAUAGUUCAGCAGGAUCCCCAAGGUGAUGGUGUGCUCCUCACUCAAGCUGAGAACUAAGUGGGAUCCUGCUGAAGUGGAGUCCGAUGAGCUUUCCUCACCACCCUUCUUCUGUGAUGGCCAGGGCUUCUCCCCGUGGAGGUUACAGGCUGUGCGGAAUGCGAUGACAUGUUUACUUUGGAGCAGACUUUGGCCAGUAAAUACACUCUCCACUCAGACCAGGAUCAGCCCCUGACAGAAGAUAGGCCCUUCCAAAAUAGCUGGAGCCUAAACUGGGAGAGCAGUUGGCUCUAAAAGCUCUAGAGAAGUAACUUGAGAACAAUCAGAAUGUGGUUGGCCAAACUUCGUGCGCCCUGGAAGGGUCCCUGUCCUCCAAAGGUGAAAGGUUUGGUUUUUCCUCUGCACUUCUGUCGGCCUGGACAGUGGACCAGUCACGUGAUCCCCAGUUGGCCAGGACCAGAGGGAGUCCGCACCAGAUAGCUUUCCAGAGUUCAGAACUUCUCCAGCACUAGCAAUGGUGGUCCUAACAACAACCGCCCCAGGUACUGAGCAAGGGUUUACAUCUAUCGCCGCACUGAACCCUCACAUACCUCUGUGAGGCAGGAACUGAGGCCCAGAGAGGUUACGCGAGCAGCCUCCAAGCUCCAAGCUCUGAAGCACCGCGCUACCUCCCAGGAAACCAUGGCAAGGCCAGGCAUGACACGAGUUCCAGGCAGAUCCAAGGUCGAAUGCCCGUUCUGCCGUUGAUGAGUUGUGUGGGAACUGCAACCCCCUCCCCCCUCCCUAGGUGACUCCCUAUCCUCCUCUCUGGCCUUAGUUUUCUUCUUGGCACAUCGCCUAGAUACAUCACUUAUCUCGUUUAUAUCGUCUUCCCAAGUAAUUCAUGAAGACACCACUGCCUAGAACCUGCCUGGCAUACAGCAGGUGCUCAGUAAAUAUUCGAUAUUGAAUGAAUGAAUGAACCCUUGCCUGAGGUUUUAGACUUCCGGUUCUGCUUCUCUGCAGUCCAUAACAUUAAGUAACUCAACUUCCAGGAACCUCAUUUUCCUCAGUGGUUGAAAAAGAGCAGUAGUAUUCACGCUCCAUGGCCCCGGUGAGCCUACGGGACAGGCAAGGCCUUGUAUGAGAAAGAGCCACCUCCAAAUACUCCAGGAACAGUUACUGAACGCCAGCUCCAUGCCAGCAGGAUGCCAGGCAUCGGGUUGGGGUACAGAUGGGCAUCAGAAGCCCCCCGCCCUCCAGUAACCUGUGACCUAGCUGAGCAGACAGACAAGUCAACAAAUGCUUACAACCCACUUGGUUCACAAAAUCUGAUCUAUAGUAAUCAUUUAUCAAGCUAAGCACUUUGCAUUAAUUGUUUCAUAUAACCCUAUGUAUUAGGUAUCACCACCAGCUCAAUUUUAUAGACAAAAAAAAAAACUGUUGCAAAAAGUUGAAAAACAAGGACUUAGUCCACACCUAAGUAUAAGCCCAAGAAAAAUGAAAAUGUGCACAUGGAAACUUGUAUGCAAACGUUUAAACAACAUUAUUCAUAUUAGCCAAAGGCAGAAACCACUCAAAUGUCCAUCGGUGGAUGAAUGAUAAACAAAAGGUGGUACAUUAAUGGAAUAUUAUUCAGCCAUGAAAAGGAAUGAAAUACUGACACAUUCUACAACUUGGAUGAACUUUGAAAGCAUGUUAAGUGAAAGAAGCCAGACACCAAAUGUAUGUGCUGUAUGCUUUAUCUGAUAUGUUGCAGCCAUAAUAGGAAAAUCCACAGAGGCUGCCAGUAGGUUAGAGGCUGCUAGGGGAGGGGCGGUGAGGACAGGGAGGGACAAUGCAAUGGAUACAAGGUGCUCUGUGAUGUGAUGGAAACAUUUUGAAACUAGGGAGAACUGGCUUUAGCACACCAUUGUGAAUACUUUAAAUACCACUGGACUGUACACUUUAAAAUGCUUCAUUGUGUGUCUUGUGAAUUUCACCCCCAUGAAGAAGAAACAGGGCCGGUGUUGUCCACGGUAAAGGCUGGGGCCAGGACCUGAGCCUGGGCAGUAGCUCAGAGCACGCGAUCCGAACAACUGCACAACUGCAAAUCUUAACCUCAGUAUUGUGUUUUUCAGCUCUGGAACUUCCACUGGCUUCUUUUUUAUGGUUUCCACUUUUCUGCUGAAAUUCUUAUCUAACUUCCUGAAUGUGUUAAUCAGUUAUUAGAGUCCCACCUCCAGCCUGGAGUUUUAUCAAAAAGCCACCACUAUGCUGGGCCCCACACUCCAGUGUUUGUCCCCCGGACCCCUAGACACCAAACUUCCGUCAGCUUCUCCGCGGCUCUGCUGCCUGAGUCAGCACAUGCCUUGAGGGGAAAGUGAACUCUCAGUUUCAGGCUUGUCCUUCUGGGCAAUUUCUAGGUGUUCUUGGUGGUGGUGGGAGGGGGGGCGUUGACCUGACACUAGCUCAUCUGCCAGAGUGACAGCAGGAAGAAUCGGCCCUGCCACACACUAACUGCCUCACCACCCCCGUCCUGCUCUUCUCCCAACAAAGGUAAAGACCUCAAAAUUAAAAUCCAAAAAAAUUGCCCUGCCUGGGUGGCUCAGUCGAUUGGAGCAUCACCCACAUACAAAAGGGCUGCAGGCUCCAUCCCUGGUCAGGGCACAUACCUAGGCUGUGGGUUCAGUCGGGGUGCAUAGGGGAGGAAACCAAUCAAUUUUUUUUCUCUCUCUCUCCCUCUCCCUUCCUCUGUCUCCAGAAAAAUCAAUGAACAUAUCCUUGUGUGAGGAUUUUUUUAAAAGCAAAAA